CUGUGAAGUUUUUAAGUUGAAUUUUACAAGUUUUCUCAGUUGGUUGUACAUUUUUGCCACUCAUAUCAAGGCAACAUUUCAAGAGUCUAAAUAUUCUUCUUGCAAAACAAUAUAAGCCAUUCGUUAGUUCACCUGUUGUUUACCUAAGAUUUAUGAUUUGUGGAGAAGCUGCAGCUUUAUCCUGAAAAAAGGUUAAGUUCUACUUCUGAAUGUUAACCUUCAUGAUAAACAACCCUCCUCCCUCCUCCCUAGGCAGCCUUGGUGUCUCCUGUUGAUGUGCUUCUCGUAGAGCAGAUGGCUUUACACAUAAAUCCUAUUAGCAACUUUCUGCUGAUGGAGACACCAGACUGAGUUCAGGGUUUUUCAUUCUUUCGUUUUCUAUGUAAGACGCCUGCUUUCAUACUACUUCUUAUCUUUUAAAGUAUCUUAAUUUGAAGGUCCAGUCAUGUCUGCAGAGAAGAAACCAAAAAAGAAGAAAGAGCAGACUGAAACAAAACUGAAUGGAACUGAGACCAAACCAAAGAAAACCAAGACAAAAAAGAAUGAAGAUGUCCUGGAAGAUGAUGCCUCUAACACACAAAGUG